CGGACCGGCGGACGGGUGCGUAACGCGUAUGCAACCUGCCUGACACAGGGGGAUAAUCCGAAGAAAUUUGGUCUAAUACCCCAUAAUACCGAUAUAGGCAUCUAUGUUGGUUGAAAGCUUUGGUGGUGUCAAAUGGGCAUGCGUUGUAUUAGCUAGUUGGUGAGGUAACGGCUCACCAAGGCGACGAUACAUAGGGGGACUGAGAGGUUAACCCCCCACACUGGUACUGAGACACGGACCAGACUCCUACGGGAGGCAGCAUG
rnacentral:rRNA from 1 species